CCUACGGGAGGCAGCAGUGAGGAAUAUUGGUCAAUGGUCGGGAGACUGAACCAGCCAAGCCGCGUGAGGGAGGAAGGUACAGAGUAUCGUAAACCUCUUUUGUCAGGGAACAAAGGCGGGGACGUGUCCCCGGAUGAGUGUACCUGAAGAAAAAGCAUCGGCUAACUCCGUGCCAGCAGCCGCGUUAAUACGGAGGAUGCGAGCGUUAUCCGGAUUUAUGGGGUUUAAAGGGUGCGCAGGCGGUCUGUUAAGUCAGCGGUCAAAGCCCGGGGCUCAACCCCGGGCCGCCGUUGAAACUGGCAGUCUCGAGUUGGAGAGAAGUAUGCGGAAUGCGCGGUGUAGCGGUGAAAUGCAUAGAUAUCGCGCAGAACUCCGAUUGCGAAGGCAGCAUGCCGGCUCCACACUGACGCUGAGGCACGAAAGCGUGGGUAUCGAACAGGAUUAGAUACCCGAGUAGUC
rnacentral:rRNA from 1 species